rnacentral:lncRNA from 1 species
CUCUGCCUCUCUCUCUCUCAUGAAUAAAUAAAUAAAAUCUUAAAAACAUAAAAAAUAAAAGUACUUUGAAAAGUCUAAGUAAGUGCCUUGUCAGCAGGAGUUUUGAGUCUUCUCCUUGUAGGUGUCUGUGCGCCCAUGUACCUGUGGGAAUGAGCACGGGUGGGAAGCGGUUCUUUCAGGGUGCAUGUGUGUGCCUAUCUACGUGUGUUGGAAUGUGGGGGUGUGCAUGUGCCUGUAUGUCAUGUACACGUUUGCCUGUCUGUGAAAACCAGCCAGCUUUCGUUUGGGAGUGAGAGAGGUCCCUGCUUCUCUGGGUGAGCCCUCAGGUGUGUCUGAAGUAACAGCCUGCUGGGUGGGGGGAUGGUGUUGGUCAGGGGGUGGGGGUUGGGGGGAGGUUGCCGCUCUGUGCUAAGGGAGGCCAGAGGCACACAUAACAACCAGGCCCAUUCUGAAGAACUUCGGGGGGAGGGCGGCGUCCCAGGUGGUGGAGAGGCCCCUGCAGCAGCACCCACAGACUCCCCAGCCCGCAGGGGUGGGGGAAGAGAGGCAAAGGCGGGGGGAAGUCCCUCUGCGGGAAGCAAAUUACUCGGAGACCCUCCAGACGGCCACCGAGUGGGCCUCAGCUGCGGAAGGGCAUUUCUGACGCUUUGCUGGUUCUAGGCUAGUCCCAGGUGUGUAGGUUUGGGGGUUCAGGGCUGUGUGUGUGUAUGCUGGGAAUUGGUUAAAAAGCAUAAAAGCAUGGCACUACAGUCAGAGCGCUUGGAUUGGAAUCUUAUCCUUACCACUUUACAGGCUGUGCAACCUUAGAAAAGUCACCUAGCCCCUCUGUUCCUCAGUUUCCCCAUCUGUAAAAUGGAGUUAUUAUCACCAACAACCCUAGAUGGUUGUUGGGAAGGUUACAUAGAUUAAUGGCAUGUAAAGUACUUGGCAUACAGCAAGUUUUCAAACCGGAUUAUUAUUUUUAUCAUUUGUACAGUUUGCUGUGGUAGUUUUAAGUAUUCUCACAAAUUCUUUGAUAUUCCUCCUGUUAAGAAGGAGAGUUAAUAGACUUUAGUUCUCCUCUCUGGGGUCGGGGCUGGACUUGGUGACUUGCUUCUAAUAAAGGGAAUAGAAUACACUGGAAGCA